UAGGGAAUCUUCCGCAAUGGGCGAAAGCUUGACGGAGCAACGCCGCGUGAAUGAUGAAGGUCUUCGGAUCGUAAAACUCUGUUAUUAGGGAAGAACAAAUGUGUAAGUAACUAUGCACGUCUUGACGGUACCUAAUCAGAAAGCCACGGCUAACUACGUGCCAGCAGCCGCGGUAAUACGUAGGUGGCAAGCGUUAUCCGGAAUUAUUGGGCGUAAAGCGCGCGUAGGCGGUUUUUUAAGUCUGAUGUGAAAGCCCACGGCUCAACCGUGGAGGGUCAUUGGAAACUGGAAAACUUGAGUGCAGAAGAGGAAAGUGGAAUUCCAUGUGUAGCGGUGAAAUGCGCAGAGAUAUGGAGGAACACCAGUGGCGAAGGCGACUUUCUGGUCUGUAACUGACGCUGAUGUGCGAAAGCGUGGGGAUCAAACAGG
rnacentral:rRNA from 1 species